UGGUUUCUCAGCUGGCCUGUGAGGGCUAGCGUCGCUGGCCUUGGAGGCCCUUAAAGCGCCCCUGAGCGGCCUGCCUCUAGCCGAGGCGUGCAAAGGGAGCUCCUCCUAGUUGACAUCAGCUUUCCAAACUUCUCUUUCCUUGUCUUUCGAAAGCUGGGCCCUUUGGUCCACCGCCGCGGAGUCUGUGGCCGCCGGAAAGCUCAGAUUCGAGAGUCCAGAGAGUAACCGGAAGUGCCCUCCCUAGGCGGCUCUGGCCGCUGCCCGGGAGAGGGAAGAAUUGAGUGUUAUUAUAGUUCUGGACUAGAGACCUUUUGACAUCCAAAGUAAAAGAGUCAGUCUUCAGUUUCUUGUUAUGAUUUGGAGAUACCAAAUAAGAAAAUAAUGUGGAUGAUGCUGGAAACUGGUAAAAGUGAAGUUAUGACUGAAAGGCUUGAAACAGAUGUAUCUUCCAGGUUCUUAUCGAGAAAAUGACUAUGAAAGCAAAGAUGGGUCAAGAGGACCAGUGGAAAAGUCCCUAGGAGAGAGCCAUAGAAAAUGUACACUUCAGAAGAGAGAUAUAAUCAGAGAACUCCAAAAAGGAAAUUAUAUCAUGUAUGCCCUCAGAAGGGUAAAAAGAUUUUUAUUCAUGUACAUGAGAUUACUCAAAUAGAUCAUCAAAUAUACCAGUGCCUUGAACGUGAACAAAAAUUUUGUGAAAACUUAGCACUUAUUAUGUGUGAAAGAAUCCAUACUGGGGAGAAACCUUAUAGAUGUGAUAUGUGUGAGAAAACCUUCGUCCAAAGCUCAGAUCUUACUUCACACCAGAGGAUCCACAAUUAUGAGAAACCUUACAAAUGUAGCAAAUGUGAGAAGAGCUUUUGGCACCAUUUAGCUCUUUCAGGUCACCAGAGAACCCAUGCAGGUAAAAAGUUCUAUACAUGUGAUAUUUGUGGCAAGAAUUUUGGUCAGAGCUCGGAUCUGCUUGUUCACCAGCGAAGCCAUACAGGCGAGAAACCGUAUCUGUGUAGUGAGUGUGAUAAGUGUUUCAGUCGCAGUACCAACCUCAUAAGGCACCGAAGAACUCACACAGGUGAGAAACCAUUUAAGUGUUUGGAGUGUGAAAAAGCUUUUAGUGGGAAAUCUGAUCUUAUUAGCCACCAGAGAACUCACACUGGUGAAAGGCCCUACAAAUGUAAUAAGUGUGAGAAAAGUUAUCGACACCGUUCAGCCUUCAUUGUACAUAAAAGAGUCCAUACUGGGGAGAAGCCCUAUAAGUGUGGUGCCUGUGAGAAAUGCUUUGGGCAGAAGUCAGACCUCAUUGUCCACCAGAGAGUCCACACAGGUGAGAAGCCGUAUAAAUGCUUGGAAUGUAUGAGAAGUUUUACUCGGAGUGCCAACCUAAUUAGACACCAGGCCACUCACACUCAUACUUUUAAAUGCCUUGAAUAUGAAAAAAGUUUUAACUGUAGCUCAGACCUUAUAGUACAUCAGAGAAUUCACAUGGAAGAGAAACCACAUCAUCAAUGGUCUACAUGUGAGAGUGGCUUCCUCCUAGGUAUGGACUUUGUUUCCCAACAGAAAAUGAGAACUCAAACAGAGGAGCUAUGUUACAAAUACAGUGUAUGCGAAAAAAGCUUCCACCAGAGCUCUGCCCUUCUUCAACAUCAGACAGUACACAUUGGCGAAAAGCCCUAUGUCUGUAACAUGGGUGAGACAGAUCUUGAGCUCAGUCCACCACAUGCAUCUGAAGUGUCACAGAUAUCUUGACCAGAAAAUAAGUUACACCACCAUGCAUACACAUAUACACACACAAAAUGCAUUUACAUGCCAGAGAACUCAAUAAGAUGAAGAUCUCUGGUGAAUCUCAGACUUUCCUCAGCUCUCAGACUUCAGUGGGGACCAGAGAACUUGCACUUGUAGGAAGUAUCAGGCUUUACCUACAGAGCUGUCCUAACAACACCUUAUCCAUUAGUCCAGUGAAAUUCCAGAAGUGCUCUGAGUUUUGGAAAACCAUUAGUCUGAGUUCAAACUUGAUCACUCAAAGAAAAAUUCAUACAGGUAGGGAACCCUGAUUGUGUGUGUAUGAGAGAGCUUUCUAGCAGUGCUCAGCCCUCCUCGUAAAAGAAUUCAUACCAGAAAACAAAAUAACUUCAGUGUCAACAGUGCUUCAGACAGUAUGUACAUCUCAUUGGACAUCUGAAAACCUACCCUUAGGACAAAACCCAAUCAAUGUGGAAAAAGCUUCCAACAGAACUCUGACUUUGUUACCCAUCAGAGAAGCCAUAAUGUUCUGCCAAGAAAAGAGAACAAUACCCUUUAAUCCCAGGGGAAGGAUUGCAGUCAACACAAUAAUAAGGUAUAUAUUUGGCUUGGAAUAAGGAUUCUAAGUGCUAGAAGGGAAAAAAGCAGAUUCCCUGGAGUUGUAAGGAUAAGCAUAUGACUCCAAUUUAACAGUGUAAUUAUGGUUUUGAACAUUCUCUAGAAAUUUUGUAAUCUGCGUGUAUAAAUGGUUACUUCUGUUUUUUUUUCUUCCCUCAGAUUAAAGGACAUUUUAAAAUACAUUUCAGGUUCCUUUAGCAUAUGAGACUCUGUAGAUGUGAAUAUAUAUUUUGUUGCUAGUCAGACUCUGAUGGCUUUGAUUUAUCCAACAUAUACCUGAACUCCAGAGAAGAAUUAUUGGUAUUUGGAUUCAUGGAGUUGGCUGCUGCUACCUUAUAUCUGGCUGUGAGCUUUGAUCCUAAUGAAGUCAUGAUCAUAAUAAUCUUAGGGUCAGUGGAUAUAGCUUAUAAUAAUAGUAAAUAAUCUGAUUCUAGGAUUUCUUUUAGAACACAGGUACUGUAAGUUAAUUUGAUAUGACAUGUUUCAGUACUUUUUAUAACUAGUUUAUACCAUGAAAAAAUUGCCCAUUGUUAUAAAUACAAGUUGUAUUUUUUCUUUAGUGAAAAAUCAUGCUUUAUCAUUCAUAUAAAUUAUGACAGUUGUUAUACUUAAAAAGAAUAUUGGGUGUGUGGCAUAAUGGUAAUGAAGAUUAGCUUUAUGGCUGUGUAUUAAUCACUAGAGAGACUUUAAAUAAGGGGACAGUUGCUAUCAUUAGCAGGGCAAUGAUUUGCCCCUUCUUUCAACUAAUUUUACUGAUAAUUGUCUCUAGUCUGUAAAUUAACAAUGGAUCAUCCCUCAAGUGGAGAACUUUGGGGAUAUGAAACAGGUCUGAGUGCUUUUUAACCAUGGAAGGAAAGGUAUUGGUAUUACUCAUAUAGCAUAACCUGAGGUUGGAGAGGACCACUUGGGAGCCUGUAACUAAAGCUAGACGGUAACUUCUGGGAUGGAUGGAGGUUCCCUUGAAGCAGUGCCAACCUAAAUCUACCUCAGGUAAGUAGUUAGAGUAACUUUUUCAAGAUUCAGACCAAAUGAGGUAAAUUGUAUUCAGUUGUACUCCUUAUGCUUUAAUGUUUUUGUUUUCCUUUAAUCCUUAAAUAAACAUUUGUU